rnacentral:rRNA from 1 species
AGUGAACGCUGGCGGUAGGCCUAACACAUGCAAGUCGAACGGCAGCACAGUAAGAGCUUGCUCUUACGGGUGGCGAGUGGCGGACGGGUGAGGAAUACAUCGGCAUCUACUUUUUCGUGGGGGAUAACGUAGGGAAACUUACGCUAAUACCGCAUACGACCUACGGGUGAAAGCAGGGGAUCUUCGGACCUUGCGCGAUUGAAUGAGCCGAUGUCGGAUUAGCUAGUUGGCGGGGUAAAGGCCCACCAAGGCGACGAUCCGUAGCUGGUCUGAGAGGAUGAUCAGCCACACUGGAACUGAGACACGGUCCAGACUCCUACGGGAGGCAGCAGUGGGGAAUAUUGGGCAAUGGGCGCAAGCCUGAUCCAGCCAUGCCGCGUGGGUGAAGAAGGCCUUCGGGUUGUAAAGCCCUUUUGUUGGGAAAGAAAAGCAGCAGGUUAAUACCCCGCUGUUCUGACGGUACCCAAAGAAUAAGCACCGGCUAACUUCGUG